GGCGGCGCGCUUAACACAUGCAAGUCGAGCGAGAACCAGUCCUUCGGGACUGGGGACAGCGGCGAACGGGUGAGUAACACGUGGGUAAUCGACCCUUGGUACUGGGAUAGCCCGGGGAAACCCGGAUUAAUACCGGAUGGCCCAGCAGCUCUUCGGGGCGGCUGGAAAAGGUAGCUUCGGCCUCCGACCAAGGACGAGCCCGCGGCGGAUUAGCUUGUUGGUGAGGUAACGGCUCACCAAGGCGACGAUCCGUAGCUGGUCUGAGAGGACGAUCAGCCACACUGGGACUGAGACACGGCCCAGACUCCUACGGGAGGCAGCAGUGGGGAAUCUUGCGCAAUGGGCGAAAGCCUGACGCAGCGACGCCGCGUGUGGGAUGACGGCCUUCGGGCUGUAAACCACUGUCGGGAAGGACGAAUGCGCCGCAAGGCGAGUGACGGUACCUCCAAAGGAAGCACCGGCUAACUCCGUGCCAGCAGCCGCGGUAAUACGGAAGGUGC
rnacentral:rRNA from 1 species